GAUGAACGCUGGCGGCGUGCCUAAUACAUGCAAGUCGAGCGAACAGACGUGGAGCUUGCUCCUCUGACGUUAGCGGCGGACGGGUGAGUCACACGUGGAUAACCUACCUAUAAGACUGGGAUAACUUCGGGAAACCGGAGCUAAUACCCGAUAAUAUAUUGACCCGCAUUGUUCAAUAGUGAAAUACGGUUUUGCUGUCACUUAUAGCUGGAUCCGCGCCGCAUUAGCUAGUUGGUAAGGUAACGGCUUACCAAGGCAACGAUGCGUAGCCGACCUGAGAGGGUGAUCGGACACACGGGAACUGAGACACGGUCCAGACUCCGACGGGAGGCAGCAGUAGGGAAUCUUCCGCAAUGGGCGAAAGCCUGACGGAGCAACGCCGCGUGAGUGAUGAAGGUCUUCGGAUCGUAAAACUCUGUUAUUAGGGAAGAACAAAUGUGUAAGUAACUAUGCACGUCUUGACGGUACCUAAUCAGAAAGCCACGGCUAACUACGUG
rnacentral:rRNA from 1 species